rnacentral:rRNA from 1 species
UACGUAGGGUGCAAGCGUUGUCCGGAAUUAUUGGGCGUAAAGAGCUCGUAGGCGGUUUGUUGCGUCGGCUGUGAAAUCCCGAGGCUCAACCUCGGGUCUGCAGUCGAUACGAGCAAACUAGAGUGUUGCAGGGGAGACUUGAAUUCCCGGUGUAGCGGUGAAAUGCGCAGAUAUCAGGAGGAACACCGGUGGCGAAGGCGGGUCUCUGGGCAACAACUGACGCUGAGGAGCGAAAGCGUGGGGAGCGAACAGG